rnacentral:rRNA from 1 species
UGAGGAAUAUUGGUCAAUGGGCGCAAGCCUGAACCAGCCAUCCCGCGUGCAGGAAGACGGCGCUAUGCGUUGUAAACUGCUUUUCCAGGGAGAGAAACUUGCGCACGUGUUGCGCAAUUGACGGUACCCUGGGGAUAAGCAUCGGCUAACUCCGUGCCAGCAGCCGCGGUAAUACGGAGGAUGCGAGCGUUAUCCGGAUUCAUUGGGUUUAAAGGGUGCGUAGGCGGACUAUUAAGUCAGUGGUGAAAUCCUGCAGCUUAACUGCAGAACUGCCAUUGAUACUGAUAGCCUUGAGUUUGGUUAAGGUAGGCGGAAUGUGUAAUGUAGCGGUGAAAUGCUUAGAUAUUACACAGAACACCAAUUGCGUAGGCAGCUUACUGAACCGACACUGACGCUGAGGCACGAAAGCGUGGGGAUCGAACA